rnacentral:rRNA from 1 species
GUGCCAGCCGCCGCGGUAAGACAGAUGUGGAAAGAGAUGUUCGGAUUUACUGGGCGUAAAGAGCGUGUAUGCUGUUGGGUAAGUCAGUUGUGAAAUCCCAUGGCUCAACCAUGGAACUGCUUCUGAUACUGCCUGACUAGAGUGCAGGAGAGGAGAGUGGAAUUUCCAGUGUAGCGGUGAAAUGCGUAGAUAUUGGAAGGAACACCGGUGGCGAAGGCGGCUCUCUGGACUGUAACUGACGCUGAGACGCAAAAGCGUGGGUAGCGAACAGGAUUAGAUACCCUGGUAGUCCACGCCCUAAACGAUGGGCACUAAGUGUCGGAGGUAUCGACCCCUCCGGUGCCGCACCUAACGGAGUAAGUGCCCCGCCUGGGGAGUACGGCCGCAAGGUUGAAACUCAAAGGAAUUGACGGGGGCCCGCACAAGCGGUGGAGCAUGUGGUUUAAUUCGACGCAACGCGAAAGAACCUUACCAGGGCUUGACAUUUUUGGUGGUAGGGAACCGAAAGGGGAACGACCCCGCA